rnacentral:lncRNA from 1 species
AAUUACUCCAUAAUCUCUUCUUCAAGCAUAGCUUCUCUUAGAGUUUUUGUUUUCCCAACCAACUUUGUUUCAACUUCAUUUGGAUUAUUCUCAAACACACAUGGCUUAGUGCAUAGACACCUUCUUUGGAGUUUGCUACAAUGGCCAUCUGUAAACUUCUCCUUAAGACAUGCUUUUCUACAUGAUGAUUUGGUAAUACAUAAUCCUUUGAAUUUUUGGCUUUCUGUUUUGCAAGUUUGUUGAGCUUCCACCCCUACAAUCAUUUACAAUUAGUUACAAAUGUUAUAAAAGAAAGAUUUCUCUAUACUAUUUAGAGGAAUAUGAGUAAAUCAUUUAGUACCCUGAAUUAUGACCAAAUUUGCUACGACACACUCUAACUUCACAGGGUUCAUAUUACGCCUGAACUCAAUUUUAGUGUAUUUUUGUCUCUCUUUUAGCUGAUGUGACACCUAUGAUAUGGACCCCAUUUUUAUGUAAUAAAGGUGUCAUGUCAACACAAAAGGGUGACAAAAAUACACUAAAAUUGAGUUAGGGGGGAUUAAUAAGACCUGUGCGAAGUUGGAGUAUGUCAUAACAACUUUGACCAUAGUGUGAGGGGAUGCUGGAUGCUUAUCUCGAGGAAUAUAUACACAUAAAUAACUAUGUUACAAGAAAUAGAGUAAUAUUUUGAACAAAAAAGAUAAAUAAUAGUACUAUUACACAUUUUUAUUUUGAAGUUUAUGAGGUUUUAGAGGAAUAAAAGGUGAAGACAAACCAUAGGCAACAAAGAGCAUCAUUGCCAAGACCAAAAAUGCCAUAAAGUAAAUGGAAAGAGCCAUAAUCUCUUUGAAUGAGUUAAAAGUAUAUGAAAUAUUAAUAUUAAUAAUAAGAAAGAUUGCAAUUUAGAGUUGUGAAUAAACAUUAACACAAUAGAGGUAUUUAUAGGAAAUGAAAUAAAUGUAAUAGGAGCAACAAAUGUGUGAAACAAUGGUUGUUGGUAAUCUUGAUGCUUGGAGAUAUAUCAGGAUCACAAAAGGCAUGUUUAUUUUUAAUUAUUUUUUAAUUGUGGAUAGGUGAAGCGAAAAUGGAAAUCAAAAUAUCACCAACGAGGAAAGUUCAGGUAUCCAAUCAACUGAGCUUCUAAGAUUUCGAGAAAAAAAUAAACAUGUCCCUCCAGUAUCAAGUUUUAUUAUUUUUCUUUGAGUAAAUGCACUGUUUUCACCCUGAACUAUAAUGCACUGUUUUCACCCUGAAACUAGAAAUGAAAUUGCUGAGACACACCUAAAUUUAAGGAGGGUCCUAGUAACUCCUAGACUAAUUAAAACCGUAUUUUUGGCAACCUUAGUGCCUACGUGGCACAUACAUGUGCCUACAUGAACCUUUAGUGUGUUGAUUCACGUAGUGUGCCAUGUAGACACUAAGGUUGCCAAAAAUACGGUUUUAAUUAGUCCAGGGGUAAUAGGACCCCUUUUAAGUCGGAGUGUGUCUCAAUAAUUUUAUUUGUGGUUUAGGAUAGAAACAAUGCAUUUUCUCUUUUUCUUUUAUUUUUUUAUUCAGUAUCUGGUACUUGCAUUGAGGCUAUUACAAAUAGUGAUUAAAUGAACAUACAAAAAAUUUCAACAUAAAGACCAUAGAUGGUCAUUUUUCAUUCAAACACGCACAACCUUAAUACAACAUACAUCAAGAUUGAUGUGUCACAACUUAUUUAAGAACACAACAUUAUAAGCUACCCUUUGAGAAAGGCAACACUUAAUUUAAUUUUGAGUGACACAAAAUUCAUAAUCAAACUUAAUUACACCAUCAUAAGCUCUUUUUCAAGCAAUUCUGCUUUGAAAAUUUUAGCAUCCUGAACCAAAAUAGUUCCAGCAUCAUUAGGAAUAUUGUCAAAUACACAUGGCUUAAAGCACCAGCAAUAUCUUCUGAUUCCUUCACAACGACCAUCUUCAAAAUUCUCCUUCUCCACACAAGCUUUUCUACAUGUAGAGUCAUCAACACCUAUCUUACAUGCCCUAUAAUUGAAUGUUUUGCUUUUUGUUUUGCAAAUGCUAGAACCUUGCAUCCGCAAAUGCUAGAACCUUGCAUCCCUACAAUCAUUCACAAGUUGUUACAAAUGUUAGAAAAGAAAGAUAUGUAAUAAAAAAAAUUAGAGAAAAUGCUCUAUUUCCACCUUGAACUAUACGCGAAAAGAUUAAGACACACCCGAACUUAGCUUUAGGAGGAUCCCAUUACCCCUGGACUAAUUAAAAUCAUAUUUAUUACAAUCUUAGUGCCUACGUGGCAAAGACGUGGCACAACACAUUGAAGGGCUAUCAACACAUUUUUCUACCAUUUUUUUGCUUUUUGUUUUGCAAAUGCUAGAACCUUUCACCCCUACAAUCAUUCACAAGUUGUUACAAAUGUUAGUAAAGAAAGAUAUGUGAUAAAUUUUUUUAGAGAAAAUGCUCUAUUUUCACCUUGAACUAUAUGCGAACAGGCUAAAACACAUCCGAAGAACUUUAGGAGGAUCCUAUUACCUCUGGACUAAUUAAAAUCAUAUUUAUGACAACCUUAGUCCCUACAUGACACAUACGUGGCACAACACACUGAAGGGUCCACGUAGACAUACGUAGGCACAAUACACAUAAUUUCUUCUACUUUUGGUGACAACUUUAGUGCCUACGUGGAACAUACGUGGCACAACAUAGUGAAGGAUCCACGUAGGCAUACGUAGGCACAAUACACAUAAUUUCUUCUACUUUUGGUGGACUAGAAGUUGCAACUGCUUCUACU